CACUCUAGAGAGACUGCCAGGGAUAACCUGGAGGAAGGUGGGGAUGACGUCAAAUCAUCAUGCCCCUUAUGCUUAGGGCUACACACGUGCUACAAUGGGUAGUACAGAGGGUUGCCAAGCCGUAAGGUGGAGCUAAUCCCUUAAAGCUACUCUCAGUUCGGAUUGUAGGCUGAAACUCGCCUACAUGAAGCUGGAGUUACUAGUAAUCGCAGAUCAGAAUGCUGCGGUGAAUGCGUUCCCGGGUCUUGUACACACCGCCCGUCACACCACGGGAGUUGGAGACGCCCGAAGCCGAUUAUCUAACCUUUUGG
rnacentral:rRNA from 1 species